rnacentral:rRNA from 1 species
AAUAGAUACCCGGGUGGUCCACGCCGUAAACGAUGAGUGCUAAGUGUUAGAGGGUUUCCGCCCUUUAGUGCUGCAGCUAACGCAUUAAGCACUCCGCCUGGGGAGUACGGCCGCAAGGCUGAAACUCAAAGGAAUUGACGGGGGCCCGCACAAGCGGUGGAGCAUGUGGUUUAAUUCGAAGCAACGCGAAGAACCUUACCAGGUCUUGACAUCCUCUGCCAACCCUAGAGAUAGGGCGUUCCCCUUCGGGGGACAGAGUGACAGGUGGUGCAUGGUUGUCGUCAGCUCGUGUCGUGAGAUGUUGGGUUAAGUCCCGCAACGAGCGCAACCCUUGAUCUUAGUUGCCAGCAUUCAGUUGGGCACUCUAAGGUGACUGCCGGUGACAAACCGGAGGAAGGUGGGGAUGACGUCAAAUCAUCAUGCCCCUUAUGACCUGGGCUACACACGUGCUACAAUGGAUGGUACAAAGAGCUGCGAACCCGCGAGGGUAAGCGAAUCUCAUAAAGCCAUUCUCAGUUCGGA